UGUCGGUCUUCACUACACCUGAAACCGAGAGAGAAAGUGGAGGCACCUGGGAGUUGUAGAUGCUGGUGAAAUCAAGAGAAGAAUUCAAGGAGAUGAUGGCGAGAAGAUUGCAGAGCAAAGAAUUAGGGGUUGAUGUGAUUCAAAGGGUCAGUAAAGAUUUGGGGAUCUGCUGGUUCCUAUCAAGAACAGAUACUCAAGGUUGCAGAAAUCAGAGAGAUUGGGUUGAAGAAUUUGUGGUGUUUAGAUGGGUUCGAUGGUUGGUUGAGAGAUAUGGGUUGUUAUGGAUCUGAAUCGAAGAGAAGAAAUUGAUGCUGCUGAGUAAGAAGCUGAUGCCGUGGAUUAAUGGGUAUCUGUGAUGAUUUUCAGGGUUUGUCGAGAUGAAGUUCUGAUGAAGAAGAGAUGAAACUGGAGAUGGGUUUAGUUCGAAUUCCAGUAUGCAGGUCAAGAGUUGUGUUGGUUGAUGAAUGGUUCGGAGGAGUUACAGCUGAAGGUUGGUUUGUUAAUUCAGUCAAGAUUUAAGAUGCUGCUGUAUGAGAUGAUGUUAUGCUGUGGAUAACAAGAACAGGGUGUUUGAAGCUGAGGACUGUUACAGGGAAGAAGAGUUGCAGUCAUUGUUGGUACUGCGAUGGUGACUGAAGCUCAAGCAAUGGAAUAGCAGGAGCUGCUUUGCAGGAAAUGAUAUUGAAUUCGAAGUUGCGGCUUAACUGAUGUCGCAGGUGGAUAUGAGAUGGAACUGAGAAAGAUGGAGCUGGUGUUUGCAAUUGGAGACAGCUAGGUCAAGGAGUUAUGUGAUGAUUGAGACAACAAAGAUGAUCUGAAAUGGGUAUGAUAGCUGCUACUGUGUGGUGGUACUGAGACUGAUAGACAAGGAUCUGAUGUUGCUAUUGAAGCAUUACAGGUAUUGAAGCUGCAAAGUGGAGCUGCAGAGUGGUAACUGAAGUAAAUUGGUGGUUCAAAUUGGAGGAGAAUGGGCCCAGUUCUGAGCUCAAUUUCAGCUGAAAUAUGAUGCUGCUUUUAUCGAAUAUGUGUGAUUGUUUUACAGGGUUUGAAAUGGAGUCUGGUGCUGUUGGUGGAUGAUUGCAGGUGUGUGUGCUGUGUAUUGCAGUGCAGGUGAUGGUAAGACUGCACGAAGAAGCUACAAGAAGUGAUGUUGCAGGUGCCUUAGGAGUUUGGCUCAAUAAGUUGUGCAAGGAAUUCUGAAGCUAAUGGUGAUGUUUGCGGCUGCAAGUUGAACUGUGGGGAUGGAACUGAAGGGUAUAUGUGUUGCUUUGUGUGAAGCUACAUAAUUGCAGUUGUGGCUAAAGGAAUUGGAGCUAUAAAAGAGAUGAAGGCAGCUACAGCAAGGGACUUGCUUGUAAUCAUUGAACCAGUUCCGCAGGAAACAGCGCGAAAACGCAGUGACAAUGGUGAGCUGGUGGUACUAGUUCCGGUUGUCGGAUUUCGGAACUUGAAGCAUGAAUCAUAAUAUUUCAGUGAAUCAUAAAGGUAGAACGUGUCGAAUGCAAGAGUUAGCUGUGGGAUAUAUGAGUUCGGAGUCGCGCUUUUGGGUGGCCAGAGACAAUUUUCCGGUGACAAAUUCCGGCAACAGUUACCGUAUUCCGUCCGGUGAUCCCAGUUUCCCGUCGACCAGCUUUGGACAGAGAUUUUCACAUGGGCAUUUCUACACAUGGGCUUGGUGGAAUUCUAUCUAUUGGACCUUUGAAACUUGAUCUAAGAAGAAACAUAAAAAGGAGGAUUUAUUUCUACAACUUUGAGAUCACGUAUUUUUAACUUGGAACUUUGGAGGAGAGCCGGAUACUAAGAUUUGCUUAUUGUUUCAUCUUCUUUAUUUUAAUAUUAUGAUGAUGAACUCCAUUAUUAUGAGUAACUAAAAUCUUUCGUUGAUUAGAGAGAUUUCAAAGUCCGGAGUAUAAUCUAUAAUUGAUAUGAAAUAACUCGUUUUCUCGCCA